GUCUGGCACUGUGCUCAGACAUCUUCCAUCCAGCCACAACAAACAAGCAUUAUACAGUGUGUCUGCUUUAUUUAUUUCUUAAGUUAGAGUAUACACGGAGUCCAGCCAGAAUAUAGUGGGCACACAGCCGUGCCCAUCAGUACAUCACAUUAGGAAAAUAGCUUUCAUAAUGCAUUUCAACUGCAGUAACACCGUUCUGGAAGGAAAAGUCCCCUCGAGCAAAGCUGUCUACGUAUGAGAGGGUUUUAGAGGCAGCUUCCCCAAAAGAGUCUUUGUUCUUUUUUAAGCGACCCCUUGAUGCAAGGAGUGUUUCCCAGCCCGGGAAGAGAAGCACAGCGAGGACAGGGAGUCUAAAAUCACACUUCAGAGAGAGACAGACUUCUUGCCAUUUCGUGUGACACAAACUGACUGUCCCUUUGGACAAGGACCAGCCACAGCUGGCACCGAGUCUCCACAGGGCAGGGCCGAGACUUUGUUUCUGGUUCCACUGCUCCUAGUGGCAAGCAGUGCCCUCAGGUUACCAGCACCAAGUGUUGUAAGCAUGAGUUAAAUGACCCUCUGUGCCCACGCAGUCCAUGGGGCUCUUUCUGAUGGUCUGGGCAUCCCAGGGGGAGCGAUGGGCUCCACGCUCAAAUCCACAGUGACGUGAGGUAGCUGGAGAACAAGGUGAGGGAUGGCCCUCCGCCAGCCCCCGGCCUCCGCUCCCGCCCAGACGUGCUGCUUCUCGGCUGAGAAGCUCCAGGGCGGCAAAGGAGAGAGUCGGAUGCCAGGCAGCGCACCGUGUAGGAGCCGAUACACGUGAGGGGACAUGCAGGGCACGUGUUCCAAAUACCUUUCCCCAUAAUAAAAUCAUCUUAAAAAAACAUAAUUUAAAGGAAGUGUCAAAGCUGAGUGUAAAGUCAAAGCUGUCAAUUCUCUCAGUCCGAAGGCUGUCUUGAAGAAGCACCCCUGUUUAAAAAUAAAUGAAGCAAUUAAUUAUAUGAUGUAUGUUAAAGUAGAAAAGUUAGAACUUAUAGUCAGCUGCUAUGGUGC
rnacentral:lncRNA from 1 species